rnacentral:rRNA from 1 species
GACGAACGCUGGCGGCGUGCUUAACACAUGCAAGUCGAACGGAAAGGCCCUGCUUUUGUGGGGUGCUCGAGUGGCGAACGGGUGAGUAACACGUGAGUAACCUGCCCUUGACUUUGGGAUAACUUCAGGAAACUGGGGCUAAUACCGGAUAGGAGCUCCUGCUGCAUGGUGGGGGUUGGAAAGUUUCGGCGGUUGGGGAUGGACUCGCGGCUUAUCAGCUUGUUGGUGGGGUAGUGGCUUACUAAGGCUUUGACGGGUAGCCGGCCUGAGAGGGUGACCGGCCACAUUGGGACUGAGAUACGGCCCAGACGCCUACGGGAGGCAGCAGUGGGGAAUAUUGCACAAUGGGCGGAAGCCUGAUGCAUCAACGCCGCGUGCGGGAUGACGGCCUUCGGGUUGUAAACCGCUUUCGCCUGUGACGAAGCGUGAGUGACGGUAAUGGGUAGAGAAGCACCGGCUAACUACGUG